GGUCCAAGGUUUAAGCCGCCCGGUGGAUGGCUCGGCUUGGGCGCCGACGAAGGCCGUGGCAAGCUGCGAUAAGCCCGGGUGAGGCGCAUGCAGCCGUAGAGCCCGGGAUCGCCGAAUGGGACCUCCUGGCCCUCCGUAAGGAGGGUCACUCCGUAAGGAGGGGGAACCCCCCGAACUGAAACAUCUUAGUAGGGGGAGGAAAAGAAAGCAAAAGCGAUGCCGUGAGUAGGGGCGACCGAAAGCGGCACAGGACAAACCGAACCCUCUGUAGCGAUACGAGGGGGGAUGUGGUGUUGCAGGAUGGCAACAUAUGUUCCCUGCCUGGUGAAGCCGAAGUCCGGCUGGAAUGCCGGCGCCGGAGAGGGUGAAAGCCCCGUAGGCGUAAGCCAGGCAGGGAACGUUGCCAUCCUGAGUAGCGUCCCUUGGAUAUGGGGCGCGAAUCUGGGAGGCAUCGACUCCCAAUCCUAAAUACGUCCCAAGACCGAUAGCGCACUAGUACCGUGAGGGAAAGCUGAAAAGAACCCCCUGACGGGGAGUGAAAAGAGCCUGAAACCGGGCGGCGACAAUCCGGCAGGGCGCGAAAGAGAUGACCCACCCCAAAAGAAACCCCGGCGACGGGGGAGUAUGAGGGGUGGUGAUCGGCGUCCUGCCGUCCGUGUUGAAACACGGGCCAGGGAGUUCACGGCCGUGGCGAGGCUAAGGGGUUUACGCCCCGGAGCCGUAGGGAAACCGACAUGCCCGCAGCACUUUAUGUGCGAGGGGCGGGGUCCGAAAGGGCCCGGAGUCACGGCCGUGAGACCCGAAGCCGGCCGAUCUAGCCCUGGGCAGGGUGAAGCCACUCUUACGAGUGGUGGAGGCCCGAAGGGGUGUUGUAGUGCAAAACGCUCCCCUGACCCGGGGCUAGGGGUGAAAGGCCAAUCGAGGCCGGUGACAGCUGGUUCCACCCGAAAUGGCUCGCAGGCCAGCCCGCCCGGAGGCAGGUGGCGGGGUAGAGCACUUACUGGGUGUGCAGGGGGAGAAAUCCCUCGGCACCCUGUAAAACUCCGAACCCGCCACCGCCGUAGAAGGGCGGAGUCAGGGGCACGGGGUAAGCCUGUGUCCCGAGAGGGGAACAACCCAGACCGGGGUUAAGGCCCCUAAAUGCCGGCUAAGUAGCGAAGGUGGUCCCCGGCCUCAGACAGUGAGGAGGUAGGCUUAGAAGCAGCCAUCCUCUAAGGAGUGCGUAACAGCUCACUCACCGAGGCCGGGGGCGCCGAAAAUGGACGGGGUUUAAGCCGGCUGCCGAUACCCCGGAGCACCGCGAAAUGCGGUGAUCUGGUAGGGUGGCGUCCCGCCAGGGCAGAAGCGGGGGCGUGAGCUCCCGUGGACCUGGCGGGAAUGAGAAUCCUGGCGGUAGUAGCAGCAAAGUAAGGUGAGAAUCCUUACCGCCGAAAGGGCUAGGGUUCCUGGGCAAUGUUCGUCAGCCCAGGGUUAGUCGGUCCUAAGGCCAGCCGUAACCCGGCCUGGCCGAAAGGGAAACAGGUUAAUAUUCCUGUACGGCCCAGGUACGCGGCGACGCAAAGGCUGGCUCCUGACGCCUCGGGGUAGGCCAGGUGGGGCUGUCGCCCCCAUUUAAAGGCUGAAGCCUGGGGAGUCCCGUAAUGGGGAGAACCAGGUGAAGGCCUGAACAGCCGUCCCUUAAGGGACGGUCUGGCCGAUCCCCGGGGCCCUUGAAAAGGGAGCCAGCUAUGGAUCCUGGGCCACCGUACCGAGAACCGACACAGGUGCCCCUAGCUGAGAAGGCUAAGGCGUGUCAGGGUAACCGGGCUAAGGGAAAUCGGCAAAUUGGCCCCGUACCUUCGGAAGAAGGGGUGCCAGCCGCGAGAAGCGGCUGGUCGCAGUGACUAGGGGGGCCCGACUGUUUAAUAAAAACAUAGCUCCCAGCUAGCCCGUAAGGGUGAGUACUGGGAGUGACACCUGCCCAGUGCCGGCACGUGAAGCCCCGGUUCAACGGGGUGAAGCGCCGGUAAACGGCGGGGGUAACUAUAACCCUCUUAAGGUAGCGAAAUGCCUUGCCGGAUAAGUACCGGCCUGCAUGAAUGGUUGAACGAGGCCCCCACUGUCCCUAGCCCGGACCUGGUGAACCCGCUUUCUGGUGCACAUGCCAGAUACCUCCGGUGGGAAGCGAAGACCCCGUAGAGCUUUACUGCGGCCUGCUGUUGGGGUCUGGUCAUGGGUAUGCAGCGUAGGCGGGAGGCUUCGAAGCCAGGUCGCCAGGCCUGGUGGAGCCGCCCAUGAGACACCGCCUUCCCAUGGCCGGGCCCCUAACCCCCGAAAGGGGGGACAGCAGUAGGUGGGCAGUUUGGCUGGGGCGGCACGCCCUUGAAAAGAUAUCAAGGGCGCCCAAAGGUCGGCUCAGGCGGGUCAGGAACCCGCCGUAGAGUGUAAGGGCAAAAGCCGGCCUGACUGCACCCCUAACAGUAGGGGGUGCAGGGGCGAAAGCCGGGCCUAGCGAACCUCCGUGCCUCCUCGAUGGGGGCCGGAGAUGACAGAAAAGCUACCUCGGGGAUAACUGGGUGGUCGCGGGCAAGAGCCCACAUCGACCCCGCGGCUUGCUACUUCGAUGUCGGCUCUCCUCACCCUGGGCGUGCAGCAGCGCCCAAGGGUGGGGUUGUUCGCCCAUUAAAGAGGAACGUGAGCUGGGUUUAGACCGUCGUGAGACAGGUUGGUUGCUAUCUACCGGAGGUGUUGGCUGCCUGAGGGGAAGGUGGCCCUAGUACGAGAGGAACGGGCCGCCGGCGCCUCUGGUGUACCGGUCGUCCGACAGGGCGACGCCGGGCAGCUACGCGCCGGGUGAUAAAGGCUGAAAGCAUCUAAGCCUGAAGCACCCCCCGAAAAUAGGCAGCCAUAAGGGGGCGCCUAAAAGAGGCGUUUGAUGGGGCGGAGGUGUAAGCCUCGAGGCGAAAGCCGAGAGGCUUAGCCUGCCGCUCCCAACACCCCGAAAACCUUGGACC
rfam:Methanothermus fervidus DSM 2088, complete genome.